AGCUCCAAUAGCGUAUAUUAAAGUUGUUGCGGUUAAAAAGCUCGUAGUUGGAUCUCGGCAGGUAGGGGGCGGUUCGUUUCUGACGGCACUGCCCCAUUUACCUGUGUUUUGGACGGAGGUCUCAAGGUGGCUUUAAACGGCUGUCUUGGUACGCCGUCCGGUUUACUUUGAAAAAAUUAGAGUGCUCAAAGCAGGCUACAAAGCUUGAAUAUUUGUGCAUGGAAUAAUGGAAUAGGAAGUCGUUUCUAUUUUUUUUGGUUUUCGGAAAUUGACUUAAUGAUUAAUAGGGACAGCCGGGGGCAUUAGUACUCAGACGACAGAGGUGAAAUUCUUGGACCGUUUGAGGACUAACUACUGCGAAAGCAUUUGCCAAGAGUGUUU
rnacentral:rRNA from 1 species